CAAAUCUAUACUGUGAAACUGCGAAUGGCUCAUUAUAUCAGUUAUAGUUUAUUUGAUGGUUCUUGCUACUUGGAUAACCGUAGUAAUUCUAGAGCUAAUACAUGCAUCAAACCUCGACUUUUUUGGAAGAGGUGUAUUUAUUAGAUGGAAACCAAUGCGGGGCAACCCGGAUUCAGGUGAUUCAUAAUAACUUUCGGAUCGAUCUUCGGAUCGAUGCAUCAUUCAAGUUUCUGCCCUAUCAGCUUUGGAUGGUAGGGUAUUGGCCUACCAUGGCUUUAACGGGUAACGGAGAAUUAGGGUUCGAUUCCGGAGAGGGAGCCUGAGAAACGGCUACCACAUCCGAGGAAGGCAGCAGGCGCGUAAAUUACCCAAUCCUGACACAGGGAGGUAGUGACAAUAAAUAACAAUGCCGGGCUUUUUCAAGUCUGGCAAUUGGAAUGAGAACAAUUUAAAUCCCUUAUCGAGGAUCAAUUGGAGGGCAAGUCUGGUGCCAGCAGCCGCGGUAAUUCCAGCUCCAAUAGCGUAUACUAAAGUUGUUGCAGUUAAAAAGCUCGUAGUUGAAUUUCUGGUCGUGGC
rnacentral:rRNA from 1 species